rnacentral:lncRNA from 1 species
CAAACCUGCUCCUCCAAAGUGUCUGGGAAGCGGCGAGGUACCAAGGUGGCUGGAUUUCCAGACUGUUGAGUGUGCAGGCGGCGUGUCUCCAAGGUCAUCCAUCACCUGUGAGUUUCUGCUAAGUGAGAAAAGCUAGCACACCAUUCUCUCACCUUCUCCAUCCUGGAGCUGAAGCAGAGAAAAAUAAAUACCACUCCAUCUCAAGGCAGAGAAAAUACCACACUCCAUCCCAAGGCCCUGUGACACAUGCAAUUAGAUGCCUUUCCCCAGGCUCUUGGAUUUUCACUCGGAGUUGGCUGGAUGGAGCUGAGACUUCAUGGACAGAAUGUCUGGGGCUGGAGAAGUUGAAGCACAUACUCCAUGAUGACUGUGUCUUCAAUAGGAACCAUCUGACUGUGUGCCAGCAACCUGAGGGCUUUCUUCAUGAGGCUAAUUCUCUAGUCUGCCAAUCUCUCUCUCUCUCUCUCUCUCUCUCUCUCUCUCUCUCUCUCUCUCUCUCUCUCUCCCUCUCUCUCUCUCUCUCUCUCUCUCUCCUCCCUCCUUCCCCUCCUUUCUAUAUAAAUAAUCCAGUGUUGGCUUCUUCAUCUGGAGAAACAAUAGCUCUUUCACACUCUAUAUGUUAACAUGAGUAUGAUAUGAGAAUGAUAUUAUGUGAGAAGAAAAGUUGAUUCUGGAUUUGGUGCGGUUCUAGAUCAUUCUUAUGGUUUGAGUGUGAGUAUGGUUUGGUAGUGUGGAACGUUUAGGAGGUGGGGCCUAGAGGAAGUGAAUCUCUGAGAACUCCCAGCUUAUCUCCCUCGGCUCCCUGACUGCUAAGGCCCUGUAACUAGUCACUGGUCACUACCUCAGUUAUGGCUGUGAGCAGCUCCUGUCUCCAUGAUGAACUGUAUCCUCUGAACCAGGAGUCAGAAUAAAUCCUUCCUUGU